UUAUGGCCAUAUGACAUUGAAACAGCGGCUGACAUCCGAUCACCAAAAUUAAGCAACGUUGAACCUGUCCAGUACCGAGAUGGGUGACCGCUUACGAAAACCAGGUGCUGUAA